CCUACGGGGGGCAGCAGUCGAGAAUCAUUCACAAUGGGGGAAACCCUGAUGGUGCGACGCCGCGUGGGGGAAUGAAGGUCUUCGGAUUGUAAACCCCUGUCAUGUGGGAGCAAAUUAAAAAGAUAGUACCACAAGAGGAAGAGACGGCUAACUCGGUGCCAGCAGCCGCGGUAAUACAGAGGUCUCAAGCGUUGUUCGGAAUGACUGGGCGUAAGGCGUGCGUAGGCUGUUUCGUAAGUCGUGUGUGAAAGGCGCGGGCUCAACCCGCGGACGGCACAUGAUACUGGGAGACUAGAGUAAUGGAGGGGGAGCCGGAAUUCUCGGUGUAGCAGUGAAAUGCGUAGAUAUCGAGAGGAACACUCGUGGCGAAGGCGGGUUCCUGGACAUUAACUGACGCUGAGGCACGAAGGCCAGGGGAGCGAAAGGGAUUAGAUACCCCGGUAGUC
rnacentral:rRNA from 1 species